CAUACUAUUUCAUAUCUUUGCAGUAUAAUUGGACUAGACCAUUAGUAAAGCUAGAACUUUUAGGUGAGCUAAAACCAAUAAAGAUUUAUUAAUAGACAGAAAUCUGUGAAGUGGUCAGGUAGGCUUCUCUUAUUAAAACUCCACAUUUUUUAAUAUAAUUGCUAUUCUCAUCGGCUUUUAUUAGAUCCAGUCCCAACUGAAUUUAUUCAUUCUAAAAAUAAGAAUAUAUAUAGUGAUUUUUCUUUUUUUUUUUUAAGGUUAUUAUACUGGUAUAUAAAGAAGAAUUAAAUAGUACACUUUUCAUCUCAUAAAAUGAAAGGUUUAAAUCAAAUAGAAUUUGGUGCUUGACUGUUUGACAGGUAUAAUGAUAAGUAGAGCCUAUAAGUUUAGGUAAGAUUAAUGAGACUAUUUUAAGAGAAUUUAAAGUAUUCCAGAUACCAUCCCAACCAAAAGUGGCAUUUUGGUUGAAACUGAAAAACCCACUUUCUUAAGCAGAAACUAGUAUCUUACUCAUAGGUACUCUGAAUAAAAUAUUUAAAUUGUUCAUAUCAAAAAUUACAGAUUAUAAAAAUGUAGAAUGCCAAAACUUCCAGUGACUUAAUUUUACCUCCAAAAUACUUUAUCACAGAGCCACUUUUCUAGUAUAUUUUCUUUGAUUUUUAUAGUUUUUUGAAGGUUUCAGAUACUUAGCUAAUAAAAAUUUUGAUUGUUUUGUAUACAGUGACCUGGUAUAAUGAAAAUGAACUUACUGAACAAUAUUACUAAGCAUUGGUUAAUUUUUGCAUGGUAAAAAUAUUAAUCACAUGAUAAAGUAUUAACCCUAACGUAUUUUUAAAAAAAGUAUUUGCUAAAGUGAGGUUUACUAAAAUAGAGCAUAAUAUGAAUUUUUCUUUAAAUUUUUUUUCACCUAAAAAUAUUUACUUUAUAUGCUUACGAUACAGGAGAGAUAGCAAAGAUUUGUUUUCCUAAGAAAAGUGUUAAUUUUGUCUUAUGAGUGAAGUGUAAUUGUCAUAUAACUGCUUGUAUCUUUAAAUGUUCAGUUAUUUUAAAGCAAAUUCUCUAAUGUGUGUUUGAACAUUGAGAUACGUAACAAAAUAUUUAAAAACUAAUAUUCAGCAUUUAUUAUAAGAUAUUAGAUAAUCCAGGAAUGUGAAUCCAUUAACAGUUAAAGCUAAAUAAAAUGUUAAAAUUUAAUAGAAAUCAGUUUAAUAUAAGGGCAGAGUUCACAUAUUGAUACCAUUAUACUGUAAGGUGUCACUAUAUACUGUUGGAGAUAAAUACAGGGUAUUGAAUGUCUUCAUAGCUUAGAUUUGAGAAUGUUAUAAAUAAGCAGCUUAGUUUAAAUAAGAUGGAAAUGAAUACAACUUUUUCCCCCUCUAACUUAGCCAGUGAUUUUCAGAUUAGAAAACAUUAAGAUGAAAAGUGAAAAAUGUGGUUUCUGAAUGUCUGAAAAAUAAAAACAAAUCCAGAUUCAAUUUAUCAGUUUCAAUCCAGAUAUCUUUGCACACAGCCUAUUGUUAAAUGGAGGAAGAGUGAUAGCUUUUGAGUUGAUAUUUUAGAUAAAGACAUCAAUCCCCAGAGUUUCUAAUUUAGAGAGUUUAUGAUUUAUGAUCUUUUAAGUUGUCAAAACUUAUUAUUUGGACACAAACAUUUAGCACCAUAAAAUCAUCUCUCUAUAACUAUAUACUGGCUUAUAAACUUCCAAAUUUUUAGCUUAGUAAAUAAUCUAACAUGUAAGAGAUUUGGUGCAAAUAUUAAUAGUUUUCUUGUAUUUGGUCAGCUCUUACAGGAUAAGAAACUUUAACCUAAUUGGUAGUGUGUGUUAUUUUAGAAGACAGGUUAAUAAAGGCUUUUACUGCUAUGUGUGAUUGGCUAUCCUUUAACUACCCCUUAAAGGACAUUUUCUACGGAUUUUAGGUGUUUUAAAUUUGCAAACCUGAUUAUCUAUAUCUAAGCCUUGGUAAGUACUUUAUCAUAUCAGGAUUUGGGGGAAAAGACUUACUGUGGUUUUUUUUCUCUGUUACACUUCUUAUUUGGGCAGUGUUUAUAUUCUGGGUUAAAUGCAUUUUCCGGGUUAAAAAACAUUCAUUUUCAGGAAAAAUUCUUAAUUGUUCCUAAAAUACAGUUAUACUGUCAGUGUUCAAAUUUUUUUGAAAUAGUUAUCCUUAGCAGGGAAAGAAUAUUAGGAUAAACUAGAAUAGAGAAAAUUUAACAUGUCCACUCAGGUACUUGAAAUUCUUCAUUGUCAUUGGUAGAUAAUUCUAGUUUAUAAGGACAACGUAUUUUAAGCAGUUUCUCAGCUGUAACAACUUUCUUUAUCGUGGUUUUGUAAUGUUGCUGUGGAUUCAUUAAAGAAUAGUCAAUUAAAAAAUUUUUUAAAUGUUUAUUUGAGGCAGUUUUGUAUGUGUGUAUUUUGUGGUGUUUCUUGACCAACCAAUAAAAUAUAUUCUUAGUCUAUUUUUUCUUUUCAGAAUUAUAAUUUCUGAUAACCAUUUUUAAAACAAUAUUUAAGUAAUGAGAAGAUUUAAAUUUUUCAUUAAAUAUCAUUUUGAAGUAAAAUUUCAGUUCUUAGCACGACAAAACACAGUUUUGGUAUUUUAUUAACAUGUAUGAUUUGGCUUAGUUUUACUUUCCUGUUUCAUGAUUAGAGUCACUUGGAAGAGAAACAUGUAGUGUAUUUCAGAUGUAGUUCCCGAGACUGAUUAAUCCAUUGGUUAAUAGUUCAUUAAUUUGUUACUGUUUUGUGUCUUAAUUUUUAAAUAUCCUUUUUUGAUAUUUGCUGUUAGUUUUUUCCAUUGUUUGGCUUUCAUAAUAAAUGUAUUAUAGUAUUUUUGUUACCCUGUGAUCCUCAGAAUUAUUUCUUUUAUUUUUAUUAGCAUUGUUUGUUACUGAACUGCUGCUAAACAGAACAGUUGUUUUUCAAUUUUGAUAAAAAUAAAAGAUUGGGUUUUUCCCUUUUUUUCCCCACAAAAUGUUUUUAUCUGAAUUUUAGGUAUUUCUGUUUUAUACUUUUAUUUUUAAUAAAUCCCAAAUCUAGCCUUCUUGACUAGAUAUUAUUUAAAUUCAGCCAGUUCUAGCAUUUAAAAAAAUAAUUUAUAGAUGUCCUAAUUUUCCUGAGUUUUUAAAUAUUUUUCAGAAUCAAAAAUUGCUUAAGGCAUUAAAAGAUAAGGAUUGCAUUUAAAAUUGAAGUAUUAAUUUAAUGCUAUUGGAUAUAAAUAGCAUCACAUUUAAAUUUAAAGAUAAUUUGACAGAAUACUUCUAUUUGUUACUCACUUGAUAUUAUGUACUAAGUUUUUAGCUUCAUAUUACACAUUUAAAGUAGAUAAAUUACAUGUGGAAAUUUUUUUUAAUAGUUGGAGUUUUUUUGUAAAAGAAAAAAGAAAGUUUAUGGGCUAAAAAUCUUCUUUGUUAAUAGGGUCUGAUUGCAAACAUAUGGUGAUGAUUAGAUAUGUGGAACUUGGGAGUCUGGAGCUUUUUAUAAGCAAAAUAUAAUUUCAUUUCUUGAUUAAAUUUUAGAUACUUUCUUAUUUUCCAGGAGAAUGGAUAGGAAAGAUAAUAUGAAUUUAUGAAUUCAUGGCAAAUCUGGCUAAAACUUUUCUGAGAAUUUUGAUAAUUGAGCAAUUAAAUCUGAACUAGGAGCUGAAGAUCAUUACAUGUGUCAUUAAUUUUUUUCCUUAGAUACAUUAUAGGUUCACUUUGUAAUCAAAACACUAAUUUUGUCUUCUACUCUUCCCAUCCUACUUUUUAAGAAAAAAAAAAAAAUUCUUAAAUAAUUGUAUCAUAUAGUGAUGUAAGCAGACCUGCUAGGUAGGUUGGGCCUGAACCAUUUUUGUCUUCUGUGUCAGUUGCAUAUGCUUUCCUUAGCUUGCUGCUUCAGCAGCAGCAGCAGCAACAAUGAAUAAACAAGUAUCACCACAGCCCUUGUUCUUGUCCCUUACAGCUGGGAGCAGGGGCUGGGAGAUUGCUGCUGCAUGUCGGCUGUUGUACAGAAUAGCAUCAAUAUGCAAUAAUGGUGGCCAAAGGAGCCUACACCCACCAGCUUUUUACAGACCAGGUUUAAUAAAGAUAAAAUGAAGACCAUAAUAAAAUAGUCCCCUACUUAGCCCAGCAAUUCUUACCUUUCUUACCUACUGGAUGGAAGAUGUCUUUAGAAAGGCAUACCGCAAGGAAUGAACUGUCUGUAAAUUUUGCUUUUACCAAGAAACCCUAAAAGUAUUUCAGAUGUAAUUUAAGGAAUUGUAAUCAAGGAUCUUCUUUUUAAAGUCUAAUGUGAAGGUAAAGAAAAUAUGUAAGGCAAAGCUCUCAUUUUUAAAAACAAUUUUUCCCCAGCAAAAAUUUUUUUUCCCCAAAUUAGGAAGCAGUAUACCAUAUAUACGGUAGCUAGAAUUAAAUGCCAGCUUUUACAUUAAGUACAAUUAAGCACUAUUGACUUGGUGCUUUGAAAAAUCACUCAUCAAGCUGUUCACCUCUUUUCCUUUAUUUCAUUUCAACUAUUUUAUGAAAGACUAACAAAUAUAACUUUUGAUUCCACUGAAAGUACUCCAAGAUUUAACAUCUAGAUUCUUAGAAAUAUUUAUUAAAUGAAUUACAAAGUUUGUCCACUAUUUUCCAGAAUAACUCAGGAAUUAGAUACCUUUUUUCCUGUUUUUGUUUUUCUAAGUAUAUUAUGUUUAGUCUAAUCUGCCUUCUAAAUGAAAGAGAGAAAACCUGGAUUUUACAUUUACCAGGUGAAUUUUUAUAUCUAGGUCCUCCAGAUGUGAAGAAGGAACACUUGGGGCUAUUAUUGCUAAAUGAAAACUUUUCUUGUUUUAAUCCUGAGAAUAGAUUAAAGGAACAUGAAAAUAUUAGUAAAGUGAGAAACUAUAGAAAAACUGUUAUAAUGAAAUUUAUCAUAACAGCAUUCAGCUUCUUUCCAGUCUCUUAAGAGGAAGUAGCCUGUCAGUACCUAAUGAAACACACACAUUUAGGUAAUUCAGCAGAACUGGAAGUUGUAUUUGUACGAGUUAAUACACUUUCAUCUUUGUGUAAUUUUGAACACAUUAAAAGCAAAUAGUAAAAUAAAAGUUGUACCUUUUAAUGUUAACCUUAAUUUGACUAUUUUUACAAAGAAAAAAUAAGUAUAUACAGGUGUGUGUUUUCAUUUUUUCCAUCAUCUUUGGGAAAAAAAUGCUCAUCUUCUUUCAUUCAGGUUUCUUUUUAAGUUGAUGCCAAAUAAUUUCAAUAUUGAGCAUCUUAAAUCUGUUACUUGGAAUAUGGAUUGAGUUUGUUUGGAGCUAACUCAGAGGACUCAGGCAAGUAUUCAGGAGGUAGCAAGAGGAAUAUUGUAAUAGUUGAAUAACUCAGUUCACAUCCUGUAUUUAAAGGCAGAUCUCUUAAGGUCACACAUAUUGAUAUGUGAUAGUAAAUAUGAAAAUUUGGCCUUAGACUUAAUUCUGUACUCAACAAUGAAGAUUUUCUUCAAUCAAUUAUAUAUCCUUUUGGUUGUUAGAGAAUUACAUGUUGUUUUUAAGCCGCUAAGUGUCAUUAUGGGUAUAUGCCUAGGUUAGCUCUAUUUGAUUAGCAAGAUUAUGCUUACAUAAACUGUGAUAUCUGUUAAUGAUUUAUCUAUUUAGAAAUUGACAUUCUAAAUCAAUUUUUUUUCCUUUUACAGGUGGAUAUUACUAUCCCUUAUUCAUCGAAAAAGUUUUAUUCUCAGUGUUGUUUCUCAUUGAGUAUUAACAAAAAGAAAAAUUAAUGUUCCAAACUUUUCAGAUAGAUUUGGUCCUAGUAAGUAUUUAGACAUACUAUUUGCAUAGCUAGAAGAAGAAAUGAGACCAUCAUCAUUUCCAGCUAAAAUUUUUUAUUUUCAUCUGUUAUCAAAGGAUUUCUUAUAAUUUCUGUCUUUAUUAAUAGCUUGAGCCCCUUUAAUGCAGAAAUAACUCACACCAGAAAUGUGAGAGUAUAUAUUCUUGCCUUAUUUAUUUAUAAAUAUAUCUCACAAAUUUCUGAUGUCUUUUUUUAAAGCUAUAUAUGAAGCUAUAUAUGAAGAAAAAAAUAAUUGACAAAAUAAAUAUUAAGUUUAAACCUCUAAUGUUAAAGUUACUGUGUGAGGUGACAAAUUACUUGCUUUUUUUUUUUUUUUUUUUUUUUUUUUUGUCUUUAUUUUACUGAAAUUAAAUUCGACAUUUAUAAUUUCUAUUUGGGUCUAUUUCUUGAUUACUAAUACAUUGAAUUCAUGUAAAAACUUUAUGAGUAAUAUACUGAAAUUAGCAUACUGAUGAUUACAGUUCUCCCUUAAUUCUGUGGAACUUUGAAUAAUCUGGUAUUACAUUCUUGCAAUUGAACUUUUGUGUUUUGAAGAAAUGUAAACUGCCUGGAAAAUGUUAUUAUUGUUUGUAUUUAUCAUAUGCCAUAGGAUUAGAUUUUGUUUGAGAAAUUUUUAGCUACCUAUUUACACAAAAUGCUACUCAAUUUGAUUAACUUGUUAUUCAAAGGUAUUCUCUUUGUUUUAUAAUUUAACCACUUACUACCAUGGAUUAUUCUAUUAAGGAAUAUCUUUAGGAAGUGAUAGAAAUUCUGAAUCACCCUAAAGUUUGCUAAUUUCCGCAUCUCAUUAUUUUAUAAUUUUGGGGAAUGCUUGUAUUAUACCAUUUCAGGAAUAUAAGUUUUUAUUAUACCACUAAAACUUUCUUUUUGGACUUAAUGCAUAUGAUAGUAAAUCACAGAAUUUUUUUUAAGUUUCCAUGUCCUCAAUAUUAAAAAUGCUGUUUUAGCCUGAAGCAAGCAAUGAAGAAGGGUAUUUAUUGUCCUACCGUGUAAGUCAAGAAAGUUGAAUAAGUACAUGAUUUCUUAAGAGAAUUUAUAAAUUUUAACAUGGUCAAUGCAGACUUUUAUGUUAAUUUGUUUAUAUUCUCAUGAAUGUCUUUUGUGGCAGUGUGAAAAUGCAGAUGUUUGACAGGGAGCAUUAAAAAUAGAUUUGAGGGGUGCCUGGGUGGUUCAGUCGGUUAAGUGUCUGACUUCACCUCAGGUCAUGAUCUCGCAGUUUGUGAGUUCAAGCCCCGCAUCAGGCUCUGUGCUGACCGCUCAGAGCCUGGAGCCUGCUUCAGAUUCUGUGUCUCCCUCUCUAUCCGCCCCUCCCCUGCUCAUGCUCUGUCUCUCUCUGUCUCAAAAAUAAAUAAAACAUUAAAAAAUUAAAAAUAAUAAAAAUAGAUUUGAAACAUUUAUAAAGAGAGGUACAAAUUAAUUCUACUCAAAUGCUGAGGAUCUGUAGAACAAAACAAAUAAAUUUCUGCCCUCAUAGAGGGUAUGAUCUUGGAAGUGAGAUGUGAAUAAUAGACUAGACGAAAAAAUUGAUAGGUACUAUAUGUGGUGUGUCAGAUGGUAGUACUUUGUAGAAAAAUAAUGCAAAGGAGGUGGAAAGGAUGGAAUAAAGGUGUUUGGAAGACAGGAGAGAGAAGUUUUUAAAUACUGUAGAGAGAAAAUGCUUGACAAAUGAUUAUUUAGACAAAGAUUUUUAAAACAAUGAGCAAAUUAUUAGGUAUCUGGGAAAAGAGCCUUUCGGGCAGGUGAAAUAACAACUACAAAGAUCUUCAGGCUGAACCACUUUUGGUGUGUACAAGAAACAGCAAGGAGAUCUGGUUGGCUACGAUUAAAUACACAAGAAGGGGACUCAUAAUUCAUGGGAUCGAAGAGUCUGUAAGGGCUAGAUCUUAUAGCUGUUUUCAGCUUUUAGCUUGUUCUACAGAUUUAAUUUUUCAUACUUCCUUCAGAGAACUUUGACAGCAGUAUGCGUCUCAGCCUAUUUGACCUUCGUAGGUAGAACAGUAUUUUUAUAAAUCUGACUCAAGGUUACAACCUCCAUCAGACACUAUUGUUUAAACAUUUUAAACAAAAUGUUUAAAUAGUUGGUUAAUAGGUACAUAUGUGAUGAUCAGAUUUUUACAAAUUGUGCUUUGAUGGCUCUGAAUUUGUUUUCCACUUGAUCAGUUUAACUUGUCAAAGCUAACAGCUCCAGGAGACACUAAACUUACUCAUGUUUGUCAUUUGCCCAAACAAAUCACCGCCAUUUGACGCCUCCAUUCUGGAAUUGAUGUCAUAAUUAAGUAUUUAAUGAUUUAUCACCUGUUCUGUAGCAUCUUACCUGAAACGUUCUUUGCCUGGAAUUGUUUCAUUCACUAUGGUAUAUAUCCCACUAACUUAAUCUUCCUAAAACACUGCUUUUGUUUAUAAGGUAAAAUUCAAGCUUGUUAGCUUUUGCAUCAUGAUAUUGCCCCAACUCUUCUUCAAGUGAACUAGUCUUGACCCAUCCGUUUUUCUGUUUGCUUUUAUUUAUGCCAUUUCACCACCCCAGUUCUCUCCCAGCUAAUCCCUCCCUGUACGUGGUUAAAAAUGAGCCAGACCUCUUGUGUGUGGUAAAUGUUUCCUGACUUUAACCAUGUGGUAUUAUCCCUCUAUCUUGUGGUAUGAAUAAUUUAUAUCUCUAGUUCUUAGCCUUUUUUUUUCCUAACUUAACACACCUGAGGGACAUAAUACUUCAUCAUUAAUUGUGCCUCAUUUAUUAAUACAUAUUAACCUUUUAAAUGCAUUAGCCAUAUGAAUAAACAUUUAAAAUUUUAUAAACAAAAUGAAGAAAAGCAAGUGGACUAAAACACCCAGAACUUGAAAACAUCAACCUAAAUAUCAGGUCCCAAAGUUUAAAUACUAAUUUUGUGCUGACGUUGAUAUAGUUGAUUUUUUUCCUCAGUUACAUGAAAAUCUCUUCUCCCUCCCUCCUUCCUUCUGGCCCUCUUUCUCUACUUCCAUUUCCUCCUUCCCUCUCUCUUUCUAUAUCUCAUAUAUAAUUGAAUAUGAACCAUCCAUAUAUAUUUUUAGGAUUUUAGCACAUUUAAAGGAAUGAUAAGUCAUCAUUUUAAUUUUUCAAUAUUGUAAAAGUAAUUAAUAAAUACACUCUUAAGUCAUGCAUGUGUUUAUUAUGGUGUUGCUUAUAAUAAUAAAAAUUUGUAAGAGUUUUUAAAGUGUCCAAUAUUAAAAGGCUAAUUAAAUAACAUGCUGAGUGGAAUACUGUGCAGCUACUUAAAAUAAUAUAAUGAAUAUUUGAUCAGCUAGAAAAUUGUUCAUGAUAAAUGUCAGACAGUAUGAACAGACUCCUUAGAAGAAUACAUUUGCUGAACUGUUAAAUCACUGGUUUACUACAGGCGUGAGACAAAUCUUACUAAGAUGAGGAAGGUGGAUCUUAUUUUCAUGAUUAUAAGUAAGCUUUAUGAUUUUUGUGACUUGGGGAAAGUUUGUUUUUGACAAGGAGAGAGAAAAAUCCUUAAAAAAUAAAAACAAAUAUUUGAAGCACCACCACAUAAUCAUAACCCUUUUGGAAAUUUUGCUGGGUUCAGGAAAUUUAGAAGUGAUAAAAAUUAACUAUCAGGGAAGAACUGAACAGGUAACUUCAAAAAUCAGAUAACUUAAAAAUGAGCUGUAGGGGAGCAAUCUCUGUGUUCUCAAAGGAGGGUUGAAAGGAAUUCAAAAAUCACAUCUUGAAUUCAUUGUUGAGUGCUUUUGCUGUCAUUUCUCCACUCUUCAAAACUUCAAAAGGUAAGUAUAAAAGUGAUAAAUCUAUUUUAAUUUUGAAACUGUAUUAAUAAACUAUGUAAAGAAAAACAUCCAGUUUAUUUUAUAGUUACAGAUACUUAACAGCAAUGAAACUGACUUUCAGAUCUAAAAAUUAAGAAUUUUCCUGCUUGGGGCACCUGGCUGGCUCAGUCGGUAGAUUAUGUGACUCUUGUUCUUGGGUUCAUGAGUUCAAGUCCCACUUUGGGUGUAGAGCUUACUUUAAAAAAAAUUUGAGGAGGGGGGAGGCACCUGGAUGGCUCAGUCAGUUAAGCCUCCGACUUCAGCUCAGGUCGUAAUCUCACAGUUUGUGAUUUUGAGCCCCGCAUCGGGCUCUGUACUGACAGCUCAGAGCCUGGAGCCUGCUUCAGAUUCUGUGUCUCCCUAUCUCUCUGCCCCUCCCCUUCUCAUGCUCUGUCUCUCUCAAAAAUAAACUUUAAAAAAUACAUAAAUAAACUUUUUAAUAGAAAAAUAAUUUUCCUUGAAAAGAUUUAAUCUCUCCUAGCAUAAAAGGAAUACAUAGGCAUAGAAACCUUUGGAAAAGGCAAAAAAUUCUAUUUAAAAAUCCUAUUUUUACUAUCCAGUAGCAACAAUUAUUAGCUUUAUAUUAUUCCCUUCUAGUUGCAUAGUUGAAUUAACAAAUUUUAUUUCUUAAUCCAAAUCAUAACUAUUCCAGGAUCAAAAUCUAGAACAUCUCUCUCUAGAGAAGAGAGAGGGGAUAUGCUUUUGACUAAGAAAAUUUUUUCUUUACAUUUAUCUAAAGUAUACCUUAAACUAUUGUCUUUAUAAUUUGUUGCAUAAUAAUUUACUGUAAAAAUGCUUAAAUUUUAUUAACUUUUUUUCCUCAAGAUUAGUAAAUCUGAGUUUAUGGGAAGAUGCAUCUUAUUUACCCUUUGGCUUCUUCUGCCACGCCUGCAUGCCAACCCCAACGGUACCUUUCCAUUGUGUGAGAAGCAUUCUGAGGCAAGGGAAGUCAUUGAAGGUUUUUUAGCAGGAAAGAAAAAUAACUACUGAAAUAUGUAUACUGGCCCAAGAUUUGCUCAGAGAGAAAUCUAAGACUGGUGUACUAAGUUAUGAAUUUGUUUCUUUUGUAUCCCCAUCACCACAUCAAAUUUACCAAAAACCUGAGCUGUUCUAAAAUUGUGGAAUUCAUAUUUGAUAUUCAAAAAACAUUAAUGUGGACAUUUCAUGCAAAACAUGACUAAAGUUACCAAUAUGUAAACCUAACACAAAUGUAUGAGUUCUAGUGUAUGACCUUUCUGUUACUGUGACCCAUUUAGAAUGUAAGCAAAAUAUGGUAUGUCUCAACUUGUUUUUUUCACAUGCAAAUAUUUUACAAUUUGAAACUCUUAAGAACAGUGGUAGUUUAAUUUAGAAAAGCAGGUUUAGAACCUGAAAACAUGUUGGCUAAUACGGUAAAGAAAAUACAUUUGGGGGGAAUCUAAAAAUCUUUACCUGUAGAGAGGAAUAUUUGUCACCAGAACAGGCCUGUGGUGCAGAUUUCAGGUCAGACCCUGUUGUGCCACUAGGGUCUGCAUUUUAGUGGUUUAUUGCAUCCUCUGGAAAAAAAAAAAAAAAAAACACCCAAAAGUAAAGCCUCUGGUCGAUAAUAAGCUAUUGUACUGUUUUUUAAAUUAGUAAUUCUUAGAUGUGUUUACCUCUAAAACUCAAGGUAUUUGGACCUUUAAAAAUUGAUGACUUACUCAUUUUAGAAAGUUUACAUAGUCACACUCUUCAGGAAAAGUUUGUGAUGGUUUUACUGUAUUUCCCAUAUUGAUUAAGGAACUAAAUACCCCCUCACCCAAAAAAGAGAAUUUCUUCUGUGUACUCCCCCCCCCCCCAACAAUACUAGGUAGCCUUGGUUUCUGGAUAGCCAAGUUGGAUUAUUUAAUUUGGAAUUUAGGUAAACUUUGGACACAUUUCAAAACUAGCAUGAAAAUUGAUUUAUUUAGGUUAACCUAUUACAUGCUAAUAAACACUUGUUCCCCCAAA